rnacentral:rRNA from 1 species
UACGUAGGGGGCAAGCGUUGUCCGGAAUCAUUGGGCGUAAAGCGCGUGUAGGCGGUUCGGUAAGUCUGCUGUGAAAGUCCAGGGCUCAACCCUGGGAUGCCGGUGGAUACUGUCGGACUAGAGUACGGAAGAGGCGAGUGGAAUUCCCGGUGUAGCGGUGAAAUGCGCAGAUAUCGGGAGGAACACCAAUUGCGAAGGCAGCUCGCUGGGACGUCACUGACGCUGAGACGCGAAAGCGUGGGAGCAACAGG